GACGAACGCUGGCGGCGUGCUUAACACAUGCAAGUCGAACGGGCCUGUCUUCUUUUUUGGGGGGUGGGUUGAGUGGCGAACGGGUGAGUAUCACGUGAGUAACCUGCCCUUCGGUCCUGGAUAACCGCUUGAAAGGGCGGCUAAUACGGGGUGGUCCGGUUGGUCCGCAUGGGCUGGUCGGGAUAGAUUCACUGUUUUUGGUGUUUCGGCGGGGGAUGGGCUCGCGGCCUAUCAGCUUGUUGGUGGGGUGACGGCCUACCAAGGCGGUGACGGGUAGCCGGCCUGAGAGGGUGGGCGGCCACACUGGGACUGAGAUACGGCCCAGACUCCUGCGGGAGGCAGCAGUGGGGGGUAUUGCACAAUGGGCGGAAGCCUGAUGCAGCGACGUCGCGUGAGGGAUGGAGGCCUUCGGGUUGUGAACCUCUGUUUCCGGUGGUGAAGGCCCUGUCCGUGUGGUGGGGUUGACGGUAGCCGGGGAUGAAGCGCCGGCUAACUACGUG
rnacentral:rRNA from 1 species